AGUGAACGCUGGCGGUAGGCCUAACACAUGCAAGUCGAACGGCAGCACAGUAAGAGCUUGCUCUUACGGGUGGCGAGUGGCGGACGGGAGAGGAAUACAUCGGACUCUACUUUUUCGUGGGGGUUAACGUAGGGAAACUUACGCUAAUACCGCAUACGACCUACGGGUGAAAGCAGGGGAUCUUCGGACCUUGCGCGAUUGAAUGAGCCGAUGUCGAAUUAGCUAGUUGGCGGGGUAAAGGCCUACCAAGGCGACGAUCGGUAGCUGGUCUGAGAGGAUGAUCAGCCACACUGGAACUGAGACACGGACCAUACGCCUACGGGAGGCAGCAGUGGGGAAUGUUGGACAAUGGGCGCAAGCCUGAUACAGCCAUACCGCGUGGGUGAAGGAGGCCUUCGGGUUGUAAAGACCUUUUGUGGGGAAAGAAAAGCAGCAGGUUAAUACCCAGCUGUUCUGACGGUAACCAAAGAAUAAGCACCGGCUAACUUCGUG
rnacentral:rRNA from 1 species